rfam:Caenorhabditis japonica strain DF5081 Contig17800.10, whole genome shotgun sequence.
CCAACGGCCCUCUUUAGGGCCACAAAUACAUAACAAUCCAUAAAU